UGUUUUGUUACUGUUUUCCAUUUUGAUGCUCCUUGCCUUGUUCUUGGGCAGCAUGUGAGUAGGUUUUUCUUUUGUUUAGAUUUUCCCUCACUAGUUCCUAGAGUGUGUGUGAUACAUGUAUGUCGUGUGCAUGUGGGGAUGGUGUGGUGUGCUUGUGAGCAUGAGAUCAUGUGCCCUAGUUAUGUAUGUGUGUAUGUGUGGG
rnacentral:lncRNA from 1 species